CGCGAAGAACCUUACCUGGUCUUGACAUCCACAGAACAUUCCAGAGAUGGGAUGGUGCCUUCGGGAACUGUGAGACAGGUGCUGCAUGGCUGUCGUCNGCUCGUGUUGUGAAAUGUUGGGUUAAGUCCCGCAACGAGCGCAACCCUUAUCCUUUGUUGCCAGCGGUCCGGCCGGGAACUCAAAGGAGACUGCCAGUGAUAAACUGGAGGAAGGUGGGGAUGACGUCAAGUCAUCAUGGCCCUUACGACCAGGGCUACACACGUGCUACAAUGGCGCAUACAAAGAGAAGCGACCUCGCGAGAGCAAGCGGACCUCAUAAAGUGCGUCGUAGUCCGGAUUGGAGUCUGCAACUCGACUCCAUGAAGUCGGAAUCGCUAGUAAUCGUGGAUCAGAAUGCCACGGUGAAUACGUUCCCGGGUCUUGUACACACC
rnacentral:rRNA from 1 species